rnacentral:rRNA from 1 species
UACGGGGGGGGCAAGCGUUGUUCGGAAUUACUGGGCGUAAAGGGUUCGUAGGUGGCCCGCUAAGUCACACGUGAAAUCCCUCAGCUUAACUGGGGAACUGCGUGUGAGACUGGCGGGCUUGAGUGCAGGAGAGGAACGCGGAAUUCCGGGUGUAGUGGUGGAAUGCGUAGAGAUCCGGAGGAACACCAGCGGCGAAGGCGGCGUCCUGGACUGGUACUGACGCUCAGGAGCGAAAGCGUGGGGAGCGAGCCGG